rnacentral:rRNA from 1 species
CUACGGGAUGCAGCAGUGGGGAAUAUUGCACAAUGGGGGAAACCCUGAUGCAGCAACGCCGCGUGGAGGAUGACACAUUUCGGUGCGUAAACUCCUUUUAUAUGAGAAGAAAAUGACGGUAUCAUAUGAAUAAGCGCCGGCUAACUCCGUGCCAGCAGCCGCGGUAAUACGGAGGGCGCAAGCGUUACUCGGAAUCACUGGGCGUAAAGAGCGUGUAGGCGGGUAGUUAAGUUGGAAGUGAAAUCCUAUGGCUCAACCAUAGAACUGCUUCCAAAACUGAUUACCUAGAAUAUGGGAGAGGUAGAUGGAAUUUCUGGUGUAGGGGUAAAAUCCGUAGAGAUCAGAAGGAAUACCGAUUGCGAAGGCGAUCUACUGGAACAUUAUUGACGCUGAGACGCGAAAGCGUGGGGAGCAAACAGGAUUAGAUACCCUAGUAGUC